rnacentral:rRNA from 1 species
UACGGGGGGGGCAAGCGUUGUUCGGAAUUACUGGGCGUAAAGGGCUCGUAGGUGGCCAACUAAGUCAGACGUGAAAUCCCUCGGCUUAACCGGGGAACUGCGUCUGAUACUGGAUGGCUUGAGUUCGGGAGAGGGAUGCGGAAUUCCAGGUGUAGCGGUGAAAUGCGUAGAUAUCUGGAGGAGCACCGGUGGCGAAGGCGGCAUCCUGGACCGACACUGACACUGAGGAGCGAAAGCCAGGGGAGCAAACCGG